CCCUUAACAGGAUUAGAUACCCUGGUAGUACACGCCCUAAACGAUGUCAACUGGUUGUUGGGUCUUCACUGACUCAGUAACGAAGCUAACGCGUGAAGUUGACCGCCUGGGGAGUACGGCCGCAAGGUUAAAACUCAAAGGAAUUGACGGGGACCCGCACAAGCGGUGGAUGAUGUGGUUUAAUUCGAUGCAACGCGAAAAACCUUACCCACCUUUGACAUGUACGGAAUCCUUUAGAGAUAGAGGAGUGCUCGAAAGAGAGCCGUAACACAGGUGCUGCAUGGCUGUCGUCAGCUCGUGUCGUGAGAUGUUGGGUUAAGUCCCGCAACGAGCGCAACCCUUGCCAUUAGUUGCUACGAAAGGGCACUCUAAUGGGACUGCCGGUGACAAACCGGAGGAAGGUGGGGAUGACGUCAAGUCCUCAUGGCCCUUAUAGGUGGGGCUACACACGUCAUACAAUGGCUGGUACAAAGGGUUGCCAACCCGCGAGGGGGAGCCAAUCCCACAAAGCCAGUCGUAGUCCGGAUCGCAGUCUGCAACUCGACUGCGUGAAGUCAGAAUCGCUAGUAAUCGUGGAUCAGAAUGUCACGGUGAAUACGUUCCCGGGUCUUGUACACACCGCCCGUCACACCAUGGGAGCGGGUUCUGCCAGAAGUAGGUAGCCUAACCGUAAGGAGGGCGCUUACCACGGCAGGGUUCGUGACUGGGGUGAAGUCGUAACAAGGUAACC
rnacentral:rRNA from 1 species